GAAUGAAGUUUCAGAAAGGGGGAAAAAAGUAUCUUUGAAUGCUCUGCUAGGGCUCUCUUGGGCAAAGAGAAGGGGCCACCGUUUCUUCAUUAGGGUACACGCAGUGCUCAGCCCCGGAGCCUGAGAGGAAGUGAGAUAUGGCAGGGAGGGCGGGGUCGCACUGGAGCCCCCAUCUGCUCUUGGGUGAACCAGGGCGUGGUUGGCUCUCUUAGGCUUAAUUAUCUCUACCCCACACUUGCACGAUUAAAUAACGUAAAGUGCCUGGCAUGUGGUAGGUCCUCAGUAGAAGUGCCCGCUUGGCCCCUGAUUUAUUUUGUGUGAAUGAAAUGCAAUUACAUACAUAAAGGAAAAUGUCACAGCCCAGAAAAAAGCCAGCCAUAAACGGUGUCUAAAUGCACAGGAAGCAGUGUUGUAUCUUGGGGACCAUCCUGGACUUGCCAAGAAUUUUAGGAUCUAGAUUUAUUAGCCUUGACACAGACUAGCUGGGCAUCCCCACUCUCGACCUCAGCUUUGUUACCUGUGAAAUGGAAAGUCGGAUGCUAGAAUCCUCUAGAAGGCAUUCAGCUUCCAGUAACUGAAAACCCACUGAUUAAUGCCUCAACCCAGGGAUUAAAUCCGGCUUGCGACCUGCUUUGGUGCAGCCCAUGACCUGAGAAUAUCUUUACAGUUUAAACAGUUUUAAAAAACCCAAAAAGGAAAUAUUUCAGGACAUUUGAAAACUAUAUGAAAUUCAAAGUCCAGUUUCAUCAAGUUCUGUCGAAAGCCAGUCACACUCCCUCGUUUACAUAUUGCUUAUAUCUGCUUUCCCACUACAACGGCAAGGUUGAGCCGUUGACUUGAAAAGCUGAAAGUAUUUACUGGCUGGCCAUUUACAGAAAAAAAAUUUCCCACUCCCGUCAUAACCAGUAAAGAUAUUUAAUGAUCUCACAUAAGAAGAAACUCAAAAGGACACGACUCUCGGUCUCCAUCCCUGAAGUUCUCUUGGCCUUUUCCUCCUGGUCACUAGAUGGCAGCUUCAGUUCAAUGAGUUACAAUCUACAUCGAAUACAGUAAAGAACAUGGAGAAAAGACUUGCUAUGGCUUUUUUUGGCCAGGAAAAAAAACAAAAAAAAAGCCCCCUAUGGCAGCUUCCCUUAUCCCAUUGGCCAGAGCUAGGUCACAUGACAAACCCUGGGUCCCUCACUGGGAGGGGCCAAACUGCGGUAGCCCAAUGGGCUGCAAAGGACUCACUUUUCUCGAGAAGUGGGGACAAGGGCCAUUUACACGAAGCCAGCGUCCUGGUCGCACAGAAGAAAGAGGGCAAAGGGCACGGUGUCAGCCCGAGUCACAAAGACGCCUUGCACCUCUGGGUAGACGCAGGAUCCUUUUUAGAACUCAAAUCUGAACGCUCUUUGUCGACUUGAAGCCACCCCGGGAACGCAGGGUGUGUCUGUGAGUGACUUCCUACAUUUAGGAUUGUUUGACCUUCCCUUCCUCCUUUAAGUUUUGCUUGGUUGGUUUGGGGCAUUGCUAUGAAUGAUGUUUCCCGAUGAAAGUCCUUCCCUGAGGCCCCACCUGUGCCUCCAGGUAGGAGAAGGUCGAGGAGUAGGCUGGCGGCAGGAGAAUUUCCCAGGGCACCGUCACCGUCCAGCCAGCUCACAGCUGAACCCAAACAGAGGGGGCGCUCCCCAGGACGGUUAGACUCAAGUCCUGCCCAGCCUCGGAGAGAAGGGGCGAACGCCUGAACUGUUUUGUAGAAAUGCAUCCUGCAAUGCGGCUACUGUUGUACAGAGCCAGGGGGGAGAGGAAGCAGAGCUUCAAGUAUCAAAUGGGAACAAUUUUGAAGGCUUCCUGCCUGCACUGUGGCAUCUGGAAAGCUGGAAACCCAGUUCCCUGGACUCCUCUGCAUCGGGGACCCACGAAUCCAUUGUGUUCACUCGGGACUCAGAGGUGGAAAUGAGUUGUGGAAGAAGGUGGCCGCAGGCUGGGAGAGUGGCCUUUUUGAAAAGCACAAUGUAUCUGGUCUUGGGUCUUCCGGGGAAAUACAGGAUUUUUGCACAUUCAGUCUCAAACCCCAUGGGUGGCAAUUUGCAGCUGUGAGCAACAGAGGGCUCUCUGCAAACACAGUGGGCUGGAGCAUUUGGGGGCUCUGUUGACCCGAGGGUUGUCCAGUACUGUCCUGGGUCUGAGUAGCAUUCAAGCUUGGUUCUUUGGUCAUGUCCAAAAGUCCGUAAGGAACCCAGUAAAUAAACUUGAAUAGAUGCC